rnacentral:tRNA from 1 species
GCCGGUUGACCGCAGCAAACGCUCUUGUAAAGCGGGGGUUGCGGGUUCGAGUCCCGCAGCCGGCCCCG